rnacentral:rRNA from 1 species
AUUGAACGCUGGCGGCAGGCCUAACACAUGCAAGUCGAGCGAGAGGCGGACGGGUGAGUAAUGUAUGGGGACUGCACGAUAGAGGGGGAUAACUACUGGAAACGGUGGCUAAUACCGCAUACUAUCGGAUAACCCAUAUGGGAGUAGCUAGUAGGUGGGGUAAAGGCACACCUAGUCGACGAUCUCUAGCUGGGCUGAGAGGAUGAUCAGCCACACUGGGACUGAGACACGGCCCAGCCUCCUACGGAGGCAGCAGUGGGGAAUAUUGCACAAUGGGCGCAAGCCUGAUGCAGCCAUGGCGCGUGUAUGAAGAAGGCCUUAGGGUUGUAAAGUACUUUCAGCGGGGAGGCGUUACCCGCAGAAGAAGCACCGGCUAACUCCGUGCCAGCAGCCGCGGUAAUUC